UACAGGGGGUGCAAACGUUGCUCGGAAUCAUUGGGCGUAAAGCGCACGUAGGCGGUUCGUUAUGUCGGAUGUGAAAGCCCUUGGCUUAACCGAGGAAGUGCAUCCGAAAACUGGCGAGCUAGAGUACGAAAGAGGAUCGCGGAAUUCCCGGUGUAGAGGUGAAAUUCGUAGAUAUCGGGAGGAACACCGGUGGCGAAGGCGGCGAUCUGGGUCGAUACUGACGCUGAGGUGCGAAAGCGUGGGGAGCAACAGG
rnacentral:rRNA from 1 species